AUUGAACGCUGGCGGCAUGCUUUACACAUGCAAGUCGAACGGCAGCGCGGGCUUCGGCCUGGCGGCGAUUGGCGAACGGGGGAGUAAUGCCUCGGGACGUGCCCAGCUGUGGGGCAGAGCCCACCGAAAGCCGGAUUAAUACCGCCUACGACCUGUGUUUGAAAGCGGGGGUCCGAAAGGCCUCGCGCUAUUGCAGCCGCCGAUGUCGGAUUAGCUAGUUGGUAGGGUAAAGGCUUACCAAGGCGACGAUCCGUAGCUGGUCUGAGAGGACGACCAGCCACACUGGAACUGAGACACGGCCCAGACUCCUACGGGAGGCAGCAGUAGGGAAUUUUGGACAAUGGGGGAAAGCCUGAUCCAGCCAUGCCGCGUGAGGGAUGAAGGCCUUCGGGUUGUAAACCGCUUUUGUUAGGGAAGAAAAACUCUGGGCUAAUACACGGGGGGCAUGACGGUACCGAAAGAGUAAGCACCGGCUAACUACGUG
rnacentral:rRNA from 1 species